CCUACGGGGGGCAGCAGUGAGGAAUCUUGGUCAAUGGACGAGAGUCUGAACCAGCCAAGUAGCGUGAAGGAUGACUGCCCUAUGGGUUGUAAACUUCUUUUAUAUGGGAAUAAAAUGUUCCACGUGUGGGCUUUUGUAUGUACCAUAUGAAUAAGGAUCGGCUCACUCCGUGCCAGCAGCCGCGGUAAUACGGAGGAUCCGAGCGUUAUCCGGAUUUAUUGGGUUUAAAGGGAGCGUAGGUGGAUUGUUAAGUCAGUUGUGAAAGUUUGCGGCUCAACCGUAAAAUUGCAGUUGAAACUGGCAGUCUUGAGUACAGUAGAGGUGGGCGGAAUUCGUGGUGUAGCGGUGAAAUGCUUAGAUAUCACGAAGAACUCCGAUUGCGAAGGCAGCUCACUGGACUGCAACUGACACUGAGGCUCGAAAGUGUGGGUAUCAAACAGGAUUAGAUACCCUUGUAGUC
rnacentral:rRNA from 1 species